UCUGAAUACAGGCACGCACUGCGCCGCCUCCAUUUUCUCACCUCGAGCAAUCUUAGCGAUGGCCGGCUGUGCGGCUGUGCCCAUGGGUCCUACGCGGCGGCGGCGGCUGGAGGCGUUCAUGUCUCCAGCGCGGCGGUGGCUGACGACUUCCAUCGAGCUCCCACUCGGUCGCGGCAAUCACUUCUUCACGGUCGGCGGCCCGCUUCCAGCGAUAUUCUGCGGCAUUUUUUUGCUCUUACCAUUACCGUAUCUCCCACAUCCUCUCAGCCAAUUCAUGGUAUGAUGUUUCUUUGAUUCCUGUUUUGCCAUUCAUGGUAUUUUGCCCACCCGAUUUCUUACUUCCCACCAAUUUCGGAUCCGUUCGGUUGUACCCGGAGACCGAACCGUAUUAUCGGUGACCCGAACGCUCGGUUGUUGAUUUCUUGUAGGACCGUUCGGUCAGGAAAAUCAAGAAACCGAAAUUUAAAAUAGACCGAGGCACCGAACCGAUCGGUUCGGUCUAACCGAACGCCCAGGCCUCUCAACUCAUGUGGAGAGCUUGCUCUUGUUGGAGCCGUGCUCGCCCUCAUUUCCUGUGGAGGGCUUGCUCUUGUCGGUGUUUUCUUACCAAGCCCCCCCUGAUAGCUAUAGGUCUUACAUAGCAUUAGUCAAAUCAUAGUUUCGCAACAUAGUGAUAGGCUCGGUUAGUUUCAGAUAUAGUGGAAAAAGUUAUAUUACAUAGCAACUUGGAAGCUACUCCCUCCGUUCCAAAAUAGAUGACUCAAUUUUGUACUAACUUUGUACUAGUACAAAGUUGGGUCAUCUAUUUUGGAACGGAGGGAGUACAAAAGAGUCCUCUAGUAGCAAAAGAUGGCAGUAUCCUCCGUCACAGCCUUCAUAAGUUUUCUUAGUUUGGCCUGGCAUCAAUGGCUAUAAGCCUAUAACAGCGCACUGGUAACUGGCUGAACCGUAAGCAACAUGAAACGAACUAUUUAGAUAAAUAACAGUGGAUAGUAGCUCAUCCAUCGGCUGUGGAAAAGGAGCUUUGUUUGCUGGUCACAUGUAGCACACGCCUUCGACAUCUAACAUAUAAAAGCUGCUAGAGUGAUAGUCACAACGAAGGCAUCAAGCGCACGGUACCACGCGAGGGAAAAAGCCCACCGCACCGCGCCGCGCGUGGGGGUGCAGCGCACCACGCGAGCGAAAAAACCACCGCACCACGCUCGUCGCGUGAUAAAAGGUGAGCGGGCAGCAGACCUAGCCCACCCCGCGACCCUCGUUCCUCAUGCGCCGCCGCCGCCGCCCCCCGCCCGCGAUGAAGAAAGUGAGAGGAAAGAGGAGAGGGAGGUGAGGCAGCAGACAGGAGAGGGUCACCGGCUGCUGUCGGCCUGCGCCGGCGAGGUCGGGCGUGACCUGGCGGUUGGUGGCGGCUCGAUCCGCUCCUGGAUCGGGAGAGGAGGAAGGGAGGUGGGGGGCCGGCCGUCUCUGUGCCUCCUCGACGCCGAGCUGCGGCUGCUCCGUGUGUGCGCGCUCUCUCUCUCUCUCAGGGGCGAGAAGGCGGAGGCAGGAGCGGCUGCUUCGGGCCCCGAUCUGGGGAGGGUACGAGGCAGGGAAGGACGCCGUCCCUUUCAUUCUCUCUCUGAUUCGUCCUCUUCCCUCUUUCCAUCCCUCCUGCUCGCCAGCGGUUCCUCCUCCCCUGCCUCCUCACGUCGCCCUCAAGUCCGAGGCAACGAGUUUGCUUCCUCUGCUCCGUUCAUGUCAUUGAGCUUUUUCCUUGGGCAUAGCACCACAUUUGCGGCAGCACACCGGAGUCAAUUUGGUUGACUAGCAAUAGAGCAAAGAGUAAAAUCAGGUCUUCACCUAUGGAGGAGGUAGAUACUGACGGAGUGCAUAUGACCAGGUGUCCUCCAGGUUCUGCAUCAUCAGUGUGUACCUCUAGAUUCUGCAUCAUUAGUGAGCAACUUACCUAAGCAACCGAGCCCAAUCAACAAUUGGUAGAAGUAGUUAUGAGAUGAGGCAGAGGAGAGCAGAGAGGACCGGAGAAGGAGUUGCGGACCUCGCCAACAAGGCCGUGACCCUACAUCACUAAAAAAAUGCGCCGUAUUUGUUUCUCAUGCUUUACCAUGGCAUGUUCUUAUUAGUUCAGGUUGAUCUCUCCGGUUCUUUUCGCCAAUGGCUUGAUGUACGCACUGGCAACCUCUUACUGGAAGGAUUCGGCAUGCCUCUGUUCGAGAGAUGGGAUAUGAAGAAAUGGCGUUCUGGUAUGUUAUAUCAUUUGAAGCAAUGACACUUUAUUUUGGUUCAUAUUUCUUUACAGGUUGUUGUAUGCAGAGUUUAUGAGGUUGCACUGCACCAUCAAACUAUGCUCCAUGUUAAGCAACAUCCAGAACUGCCAUUAUAUAUUUAAUGUAGUAGGUUGAUGCAACUUUGUAACCAGUCAUGGAUUUAAAAUAGGCUUUCUACCUCUUUAUUUUGGUCGGCAUGUUUUGGCACGUGUUUUUGUCAUUGAUCUGCUAUAUAUUAAUUACAUUUGAGUAGACUGUUGACUGAGAAAGCGUGAAGAUGUUGUGUUUUGAUUUAUGAGGACUAAUAGAUAGUUUUCCCUCGGGUUUAUUUAUUUUCUCUCCACACUUUUAAUUCUACAUAAAAGUACAUUCUAUUGUUAUUUGUUUACUAAUGCAAUAUAUGUACCCUUAUUUGUCUCAACUUUAUCAAUUUUAGUUUGUGUUUUCUGUGGCGCAGAACACAGUUAAAGGCAGUGCUGUGUCAAAGAUGCGUGCCAAAUAAUUAUUAAUUAAGCUGAUUGAAAUAUCAAACUUUGGGUGCAGUCUUCUUGGUCCUGUAUAUAUGACUGGCUGAUACAAAAUCUGGACAGUUCUGUCAUGACUUUUAUCUUCACAUCUUCCUUUCAUGAAUUUACUAACGCUUUUUUUUACUUGAUCUUAUGUGCAGCUACGUUUAUUCAGGUUAUAGGGCCUCUAUAGGAAACACAAUAAUCUGAAUUCCUAAGUAAAUAUAACAGCUCCAGUGUGUUUUUCUUGCUUAAAUUUGCCAUCCUGAAUUCCUAAGUAUUUAUAACAACUCAAGUGUAUCCAUAUAUGACAUUAGAUUUUCUUCUUACUUGGAUCUUUUGCCAUGUAAAGUAGGUUGUCUUCAUGUCGCUGUUGUGCUACUGCUAGGCAUGAACAGAAUGGCCUCCUCUUAUUGCGAACCACACUGAUGUUGGCUUCUGAUUUCUGCUGUAAUGGAUUAUUUACUAUGGACAAAUAUGGCAAUAUUCAUUUGGAGCACCGUUUCUUGAGGAUAUGUCUCUUCUACAGGUAUGACAUUAUCAUUGGAACGUAUACUAUGUCUAUUUGAUAUAUCUAUGACUAUAUCCUUCCAAAGAAUAUUUAUUUUUGUAUUAUAUACUUUUUUUUCGAAAAGGGGGAGAUCCCCGGCCUCUGCAUCAGAACGAUGCAUACAUGAUAUCGGUACUUUUUAUAACUGAUCCAUGUUCUUGGAAUACUUUAUUUUAUUUCAUUAAUAAGCAAGGGUGGAUGGUGGCUUGCAGUGUGCUUGUACUAAAAAAGGUGUUCUGCCAUCCCAUGGAUUCUAGCACAGCUUGAAGCGGCCAAGUCAAGGAGGACCUAUAAAAUUAUUUGAUCGUCUCUCGCUCUCUCUCUCUCUCUCUCUCUAUAUAUAUAUAUAUAUAUAUAUAUAUAUAUGUUGUCUGGUGCAUGUAUGGCUGAGAAUAGGGAGAGAGAGCAAGUUUAAUUUUCCUUGGGCAUUCAAAUUCUUAUUUUGCUUUUCUCAGAUUUUUGGCUGGGUGUUUAAACAUACUUGCACACACUGGUUUCAGAUUUCAGUGUAAACUACAAAUAGGGGAAAAAUAUAGUGAUUUUUCCAAAUUAGAAAUAGGGAGAAGGGAAACUAUUGAUUAUUGUGUGCAUGUAUAACUAAUUGGAUUACUGGUUGAACGAGUGCAGACUUGAGAAAGAAGAGAUAGGGCCAAUAAAAUUAGGUGGGAGGUAUGCUGAUGGGUUCAUUUUAGCAUUACUAAUCGACCGCUUGGCAUCCUGAAGGUAUGAUGCAUAUUGCCUUGCUCUGAUUUGCUUAUUUGAAUGUGUUUGUGUACAUCAAAGUUCAUUUUGUUAUUUUUGCUCUUUGAGGGAUAUAGGAGGAGAGAUAUCUAUUGUUGAAAUUUGAUGAUAAAAAUAUAGCCAUUAUUGUUACAAGCAUUAUUGUUCCAGUUUUUUUUUAGUUAUUGAUUAUGCCAUUUUUCUUUCUGCCUUUGUAGCUGAAAGAUUAGCGAGACUGACUAAAUUCUAAACAUGUUCCAUGUGAGAGAAAUAGCAUGUUGAUUUCAUCUUGAAAUAAUCAUAGUUGAGGGAUGAGGUUCGUAACCGAGGGUCAUGUGCAGAGCUGGAGGAAGAAGUUGCGAGGCUUGAAACUCUGUGAAGGGCUCAGGGACAGCAGUGAGGACAAUGCCUCUUUAGUUGUAAUUGUGAUACUCUUGAUGUGCAAUUAAACACUCCUGUGAUACUCCUUAUGCUAAAAUGUUGGUUGUUAGUACAGAGGUGGUGACAUUAUUUGGUUCUCUGGUAUUGAUUUCAUGAUUUGUGGUUAAUACAUGAUGUAAUACAAUCCACAUUGUAUUAUAUUUCCAGUUACAUCUUUUACUUACUCA